rnacentral:lncRNA from 10 species
CCGGGGGCGGCACAUCUUGCAGAUGGCAAGGCCUGUGAGGCCGGCACCACUGCCAAGUUCUAGGACAGUCCUGGCGGGAGGAAAGGGGACCGUGUCUUCGACUGCACCAGGGUAAGCCUGCCUUGGUGCCCUGCCCUGUGCCCCGAGGUCACCUGUUAGUGAAGGCUGCUGGGUUCUCGAUGGCCCAUUCUGCAAGGCAGAGGGUGGCGUCCCAUGUGACCAGGCCUGUGGUACCGUGAGAGAUGAUGGCUGUGCUCUCGGAGAUUGUGACCGAGCCUCCCGAGGGCUGCACCAAGAGAGGGCGAGAGAGUCAGUCCAGCGAUCAGAAGGCAAGUGGCUUAGAAGACAAGUAGCCAUCCACCACAUGGCUGAAUAAACCAUGACAGGACCAAUCGCCACUCAGCAAUGAGAAGCAGCUAACUGUUGACAUACCAACAGCUUUCACGGGCCUCAAGAUUGUCACGUGGCAUGAAAGACACUCAUCUCAGGCCACACAGGAUUCCAUUCAUCGAACAUUCCUGAGACAACGGAAUUCUGGCGAUGGAGCACAGGUCUGCUACUGCCUACUAAGGAACGGCUUCUCGACAUCCUCCUGUCAAACCCUGCAUGUUCAGGCCCAUCUUUAAAAUCCAUCCUAGGCCAGGUGCAGUGGCUCAUGCCUGUAAUCCCAGCACUUUGGGAGGCCGAGGCAGGCGGAUCACCUGAGGUCAGGAGUUCGAGACCAGCCUGGCCAACAUGGUGAAACUCUGUUUCUACUAAAAAUACAAAAAUUAGCCAGGCAUGGUGGCGUGUGCCUGUAGUCCCAGCUUCUUAGAAGGCUAGGCACGAGAAUUGCUUGAACCCAGGAGGCAGAGAUUUCAGGGAGCCGAGAUUGUGCCACGGUAAUCCAGCCUGGGCACCACAGUGAGACUGUCUCAAAAAAGUAAAUAAACAAGUAAAAAAUAAAAUCCAUCCUAUAGCAGUCAGGAAAGAGCUCAUUCCAGCAGGAUCAAUGAAGAGAAUUCACCAGAGGAACUAGUUCCAAAGGUAUGGCAAGAGCUAAAUCUUCCAACAGGGGCCCGUGGGGCAACCCAGAGACGGACAAGAGCAGGAAACUCCAAACCCUUCGGCGGGCAGGACAGAGGGUGUGAGUGAGGGUUCCAGUGUUGUGGGCUGGACCAGCCUGGUAGGAAUGAGAAUUCAUAUGCUAGGAGAUGGGGCCCCAGAGAAGCAGCUGCUGUGGAAACCCCAGGAGGCAGAGUGAGGGAGAGACGCUGGCCUCCCCUUCUUCCCACCCUGCACUGUCUCCCAUGGGUCACACUCAGCUGCAGCCAGUUGCCUGCGGAGGCCCCUGCCAUGCUGGGGUUUGCAAAGCAGGCCCAGGGCCUGGGAAGGACGGGGGCUCCAGCACGCAGGUGGCUAUGCUGUCCGGCUACUGGGCGGACACUGCCCAUAACUGACCUUUUUGAUGAGUUCUGAGAGAAAGCACCGGGCAUACUUGACUGACGGCGGGUGCUUCACACACACACAGGAUGCUUCACAGUCUACGGCAAAGGACAGAACGUUGGUUGCUCGAGAGCCCGUCUUAAGUCUCCUAUGAGCUUCAAGCCAACACAACAGAGGGCAAACUCCAGGCUACCUGAUCCCUCAGCAAAGAUGCAGAUGGACACAGCGUUCUGGCCCCACGCAUCUGAAGUUCGUCUUAAGAUGUGUGAAAGCCUCAGCGCAUGAGCCAAUUCUGUGCAGUGCUCGACAUACAGAUGAGAACACUGAGGCACGAGGCACAGCCUGUGAUCUGGCCACCGCGCUCAGGAGGAGGUGGUUACCCGCGGGCCUGAGGGCGCUGACUUUUUAGAAUGGGCGAGUGCAGCUGUGUCCCAGUGUCCCAGUGACCAGAACGAUUACUGCCUUUUAAAAGUCGUGAAAAGGAUCGUGAACUGUACCCCACACCGAGCGCGCGUCUGCCCCCCAAGGCGGUGGAGACACCCCCAGCUUCCGCCGCCAGCUCGCGGGGCAGAAGGGGUGCGAGCGACUCUGGCCAGGCCCCAGGGACGGAACCGGGUCUGGCGGCCCUGACCGGGGAGAGCCCAGGAACUCACGUAGCCGGAGCGCCGGGGGUUUCAG